rnacentral:lncRNA from 1 species
CGGGUGUGGUGGUGUACCUUAGUUGGGGGAAAAACUGAGAAGCGCUGGUUAAGUGCACAGGCUCACCAGAAGACUCAGACUGUAAAACCAUUUUCCGCCCCCAAUACCUUACCGCCAGAUCACUAAAGUGUUGGGAUUACAGGUGUGGGCCACUGCACCUGGAUGGUAGAGUAUUUUCUAUGGCAAAAAAAAGUCAUGCUUGGGGCACCAAAAAAUUAGUUGAC